CCUACGGGAGGCAGCAGUAGGGAAUCUUCCGCAAUGGACGAAAGUCUGACGGAGCAACGCCGCGUGAACGAUGAAGGCCUUCGGGUCGUAAAGUUCUGUUGUUAGGGAAGAACAAGUGCUAGUUAAAUAAGCUGGCACCUUGACGGUACCUAACCAGAAAGCCACGGCUAACUACGUGCCAGCAGCCGCGGUAAUACGUAGGUGGCAAGCGUUGUCCGGAAUUAUUGGGCGUAAAGCGCGCGCAGGCGGUUUCUUAAGUCUGAUGUGAAAGCCCCCGGCUCAACCGGGGAGGGUCAUUGGAAACUGGGAAACUUGAGUGCAGAAGAGGAAAGUGGAAUUCCAAGUGUAGCGGUGAAAUGCGUAGAGAUUUGGAGGAACACCAGUGGCGAAGGCGACUUUCUGGUCUGUAACUGACGCUGAGGCGCGAAAGCGUGGGGAGCAAACAGGAUUAGAUACCCUGGUAGUCCACGCUGUAAACGAUGAGUGCUAAGUGUUAGAGGGUUUCCGCCCUUUAGUGCUGAAGUUAACGCAUUAAGCACUCCGCCUGGGGAGUACGGCCGCAAGACUGAAACUCAAAGGAAUUGACGG
rnacentral:rRNA from 1 species